rnacentral:rRNA from 1 species
AUGGAAUCCUCCCAGAUCACCGGGGAUGGCGGCGAAGAGUGCAACAGCAAUGAAUCUGGGUGGACGAUAUACCUGACCUCCCCCACGAGCAGCUAUGAAGCAAAAGAGAAUGGCAGUGAAGGGAGCAAUGUUGAAGAUGGCAGUGGCUACAUCACUGAGAGGAGGAAAGGGAAGGAAGAGAACAACGCGGAUGAUGAUGGAGAUUAUGAUUCCCUGGCGUCUGAUGCUUCCACAGGGACAUCUCAAGUGAAGGUGCUUGAAGGCAAAGAAGAGAAAGAUCGUCAGACAAAUGACGGUUGCAGCAAUGAACAUGGCAAGGAUGAACAGGCUGAGACGCUUACCAAGUUCUCGACCGGCAGCAACAAAAAGGCGGGCAAGGUGAAGAAAGGGGACGACAAAAGCAGCAAAAGAGGCCACAAUAGAAGACGUAGCUCAUCAAGAACAAGCUUCUUUUGGUAA